rnacentral:rRNA from 1 species
UAGAGGUCCGCCUGCCGGUGACUUUAUGUUUAACGGCCGCGGUAUUUUGACCGUGCAAAGGUAGCGCAAUCACUUGUCUUUUAAAUGGAGACCUGUAUGAAUGGCAUCACGAGGGCUUAACUGUCUCCUUUCUCAAGCCAAUGAAAUUGAUCUCCCCGUGCAGAAGCGGGGAUUAUAACAUAAGACGAGAAGACCCUAUGGAGCUUUAGACACUAAGACAGCUUACGUCAAGCACCCCUAUAUAAAGGAUCGAACUAAAUAAAUCCUGUCCUAAUGUCUUUGGUUGGGGCGACCCUGGGGAGAUAAAGAACCCCCAUGUGGACUGGAAACAUGUUUCCAAAACCAAGAGCUACCGCUCUAAGAAGCAGAACUUCUGACCUACUAGACCCGGCAAGGCCGAUCAACGGACCGAGUUACCCUAGGGAUAACAGCGCAAUCCCCUUUUAGAGGCCAUAUCGACAAGGGGGUUUACGACCUCGAUGUUGGAUCAGGACAUCCUAAUGGUGCAGCCGCUAUUAAGGGUUCGUUUGUUCAACGAUUAAAGUCCUACGUGAUCUG